rnacentral:rRNA from 1 species
GGGCCCGCACAAGCGGUGGAGCAUGUGGUUUAAUUCGAUGAUACGCGAGGAACCUUACCAGGGCUUAAAUGCAGAACGACAGAGGUGGAAACACCUCCUUCUUCGGACGGUCUGCAAGGUGCUGCAUGGUUGUCGUCAGCUCGUGCUGUGAAGUGUCGGGUUAAGUCCCAUAACGAGCGCAACCCUAUUUCUAGUUGCCAGCGGAUAAUGCCGGGGACUCUAGAGAAACUGCCCGUGCAAACUGUGAGGAAGGUGGGGAUGACGUCAAAUCAUCACGGCCUUACGUCCUGGGCUACACACGUGCUACAAUGGCCGGUACAGAGAGCAGCCACUUCGCAAGAAGGAGCG